UACGUAGGCGGCAAGCGUUGUCCGGAAUUAUUGGGCGUAAAGCGCGCGCAGGCGGUCCUUUAAGUCUGAUGUGAAAGCCCACGGCUCAACCGUGGAGGGUCAUUGGAAACUGGGGGACUUGAGUGCAGAAGAGGAAAGCGGAAUUCCACGUGUAGCGGUGAAAUGCGUAGAUAUCUGGAGGAACACCGGUGGCGAAGGCGGCAUUCUGGACCGACAUUGACGCUGAGGAGCGAAAGCCAGGGGAGCAAACGGG
rnacentral:rRNA from 1 species